rnacentral:rRNA from 1 species
GACGAACGCUGGCGGCGUGCCUAAUACAUGCAAGUCGUACGCAUCUUUUUCACCGGAGCUUGCUCCACCGAAAAAGAUGAGUGGCGAACGGGUGAGUAACACGUGGGUAACCUGCCCAUCAGAAGGGGAUAACACUUGGAAACAGGUGCUAAUACCGUAUAAUAGUUUGACCCGCAUGGGUUGAAUUUGAAAGGCGCUUUUGCGUCACUGAUGGAUGGACCCGGGGCGUAUUAGCUAGUUGGUGAGGUAAUGGCUCACCAAGGCAACGAUACGUAGCCGACCUGAGAGGGUGAUCGGCCACAUUGGGACUGAGACACAGCCCAAACUCCUACGGGAGGCAGCAGUAGGGAAGCUUCGGCAAUGGACGAAAGUCUGACCGAGCAACGCCGCGUGAGUGAAGAAGGUUUUCGGAUCGUAAAACUCUGUUGGUAAAGAAGAACAAGGGUGAGAGUAAAAAGUUCACUCCUUGACGGUAUUUACCCAGAAAGCCACGGCUAACUACGUGCCAGCCGCCGCCGUAA